rnacentral:misc_RNA from 1 species
GAUGAAGAACGUAGUGAAAUGCGAUAAGUAAUGUGAAUUGCAGAAUUCAGUGAAUCAUCGAAUCUUUGAACGCACAUUGCGCCCGUCAGUAUUCUGGCGGGCAUGCCUGUUCGAGCGUCAUUCCGCCCCUCAAGUCCCCUGUGGACUUGGUGUUGGGGAUCGGCGAGGCUGGUUUUCCAGCACAGCCGUCCCUUAAAUUAAUUGGCGGUCUCGCCGUGGCCCUCCUCUGCGCAGUAGUAAAACACUCGCAACAGGAGCCCGGCGCGGUCCACUGCCGUAAAACCCCCCAACUUUUUAUAGUUGACCUCGAAUCAGGUAGGACUACCCGCUGAACUUAAGCAUAUCAAUAAGCGGAGGA